rnacentral:rRNA from 1 species
GAUGAACGCUGGCGGCGUGCCUAAUACAUGCAAGUCGAGCGAACGGACGAGAAGCUUGCUUUUCUGAUGUUAGCGGCGGACGGGUGAGUAACACGUGGAUAACCUACCUAUAAGACUGGGAUAACUUCGGGAAACCGGAGCUAAUACCGGAUAAUAUUUUGAACCGCAUGGUUCAAAAGUGAAAGACGGUCUUGCUGUCACUUAUAGAUGGAUCCGCGCUGCAUUAGCUAGUUGGUAAGGUAACGGCCUACCAAGGCAACGAUGCAUAGCCGACCUGAGAGGGGGAUAGCCGACCUUGGAACUGAGACACGGUCCAGACUCCUACGGGAGGCAGCAGUAGGGAAUCUUACGCAAUGGGCGAAAGCCUGACGGAGCAACGGCGCGUGAGUGAUGAAGGUCUUCGGAUCGUAAAACUCUGUUAUUAGGGAAGAACAUAUGUGUCAGUAACUGUGCACAUAUUGACGGUAACUAAUCAGAAAGCCACGGCUAACUACGUG